rnacentral:rRNA from 1 species
CAGCAGCCGCGGUAAUACGGAGGGUGCGAGCGUUAAUCGGAAUUACUGGGCGUAAAGCGUACGCAGGCGGUUUGUUAAGUCAGAUGAGAAAUCCCCGAGCUUAACUUGGGAACUGCAUUUGAAACUGUCAGGCUGGAGUCUUGUAGAGGGGGGUAGAAUUCCAGGUGUAGCGGUGAAAUGCGUAGAGAUCUGGAGGAAUACCGGUGGCGAAGGCGGCCCCCUGGACAAAGACUGACGCUCAGGUGCGAAAGCGUGGGGAGCAAACAGGAUUAGAUACCCGAGUAGUCCCUGUCUCUUAUAC